rnacentral:rRNA from 1 species
UACGUAGGGUGCGAGCGUUAAUCGGAAUUACUGGGCGUAAAGCGUGCGCAGGCGGUUUGUUAAGACCGAUGUGAAAUCCCCGGGCUCAACCUGGGAACUGCAUUGGUGACUGGCAGGCUUUGAGUAUGGCAGAGGGGGGUAGAAUUCCACGUGUAGCAGUGAAAUGCGUAGAGAUGUGGAGGAAUACCGAUGGCGAAGGCAGCCCCCUGGGCCAAUACUGACGCUCAUGCACGAAAGCGUGGGGAGCAAA